rnacentral:rRNA from 1 species
CGGCGGACUGGUGAGUAACACGUGGGUGACCUGCCUUUGUCUUGGGGAUAGCCAUUAGAAAUAGUGGGUAAUACCGAAUACGCUUGCACACGUAGAGGUGUGUAAGGAAAGGCGCUACGGCGCCGGACGAAGAUGGGCCCGCGUCCCAUUAGCUAGUUGGUGAGGUAACGGCUCACCAAGGCGAUGAUGGGUAGGCGGCCUGAGAGGGUGUACGCCCACAUUGGGACUGAGAUACGGCCCAAACUCCUACGGGAGGCAGCAGCUAAGAAUAUUCCGCAAUGGACGAAAGUCUGACGGAGCGACGCCGCGUGGAUGACGAAGGCCGAAAGGUUGUAAAAUCCUUUUGCUGGGGAAGAAUAAGCAUGGGAGGGAAUGCCCGUGUGAUGACAUGAACCGGCGAAUAAGCCCCGGCUAACUACGUGCCAGCAGCCGCGGUAACACGUAGGGGGCGAGCGUUGUUCGGAAUUACUGGGCGUAAAGGGCAUGUAGGCGGCCUUGUAAGCCUGGCGUGAAAUUCCACGGCUCAACCGUGGGAAUGCGUCGGGAACUGCGAGGCUUGAGUGACGGAGAGGGAGCUAGAAUUCCUGGUGUAGGGGUGAAAUCUGUAGAUAUCAGGAAGAAUACCAAUGGCGAAGGCAAGCUCCUGGCCGAUGACUGACGCUGAGGUGCGAAAGUGUGGGGAUCAAACAGGAUUAGAUACCCUGGUAGUCCACACGGUAAACGAUGUGCACUAGGUGCUGGGGCGGAUGCUUCAGUGCCGGAGCUAACGCGGUAAGUGCACCGCCUGGGGAGUAUGCUCGCAAGGGUGAAACUCAAAGGAAUUGACGGGGGCCCGCACAAGCGGUGGAGCAUGUGGUUUAAUUCG